AUGACUUGGGUCGUGAUGCAAUUACUUGUGGCUCUGUUUAUGAAUAUUCGCACUGGCUUAGGGGGAACAUAACCCAACCCUUUGCGUUCAUGCGGCUC